GUAUUAUGCAACAUUUCACUCU
rnacentral:miRNA from 1 species